rnacentral:misc_RNA from 1 species
AACCAUUCUCACCUGCGGCUAGACCUGCGGAGGGAUCAUUAACAUGUCGGGGCGGUCCUCGCGGCCGCCCGUCUGGCACCCUUGUCUACCCGACCUCCGUUGCCUCGGCGGGCCCGCCGGGGGCUCGAUCGCACCCGCGAUCGCUGGCCCCGGCCGCCCGGGCGUGACGUCCGGGCCCGCGCCCGCCGGAGGGAAGUCCGAACCACUGCGAAGUAGUGCGGUCGUCUGAGCGUCGUGACG